rnacentral:lncRNA from 1 species
CACCUUUCAGCACCUGGCUCAGCUGAACUGAUCGAGUGCCAUGAAGGCUGACUUCUUCCAGGAAAGAGCCUGGGGGAAAGGACUUUGGCUUUGACAAAGAGACGCAGGUUCAAGUCCAGACUCCACCCUGACCUGGCUCCAUCUCCUAAGAAGCCAGGGCCCUCUCCCGCCUCCCUCUGGAAGCCCAGGAAGUGACCGUGGCCUGACCGGAC